GAUGAAGGCCAGUCUGAAGGGCUUGCCCGACGAGCCGAGAGGUAGUGCAUGGCCGCCGUCAGCUCGUGCCGUAAGGUGUCCAGCUAAGUCUGGUAACGAGCGAGACCUGCGCCCACAGUUGCUAACGAGACAUGUCGAUCGAGCACACUGUGGGGACUGCUCCCGUAAGGGAGACGAAGGUGCAGGCUACGGUAGGUCUGUAUGCUCCGAAUCCACUAGGCUACACGCGCGCAACAAUGGCUGUGACAAUGGGAUGCGACACCGAGAGGUGAAGCUAAUCCUCUAAACGCAGUCUUAGUACGGAUCGAGGCUUGCAACCCAGCCUCGUGCCGCUGGAAUCCCUAGUAAUCCGCUUUCAUCAUAUGCGGGUGAAUAUGUCCCUGCUCCUUGCACACACCGCCCGUCAAACCAACCGAGCAGGGUCGAGGUGAAGUCACGCUUCUUGGCAUGACUGAAUCUCAGCUCAGUGAGGUGGGUUAAGUCGUAACAAGGUA
rnacentral:rRNA from 1 species